UUUUUUUUGCAUUUUCCCCUUCGCGUCAUUAUCCCCGUACACCACGCCUCUUGCCUCCGCUCCCCUCUCUCCCAACCAGAGCACGCGGACGAGGUGCCGCUGGGCUCGUGCGGAGGAAGGUCCGAGCGCGCGCCCGGCGAUCGCAGAACGACGGCCUGGCGUUCGACGCCACGACGCAGUCUCAUCCUUCAACACCACUUGAUCUCGCGUUCCCGCACCACUUUCUUGUCCAGCUUCGUUGCGAAGAUCGACCAGGAGGGGAUUCAGCUGAUGCGCCAUUCAGCCCUCUAGGGCAACAAUGACAACGCCUUGGCCCCUCUAGCACUCAUGGGCCAUGGCAUCAACGAAUCUGAAAAGGUAUCAUCGAUCUGAUGCAGUGACGAUCUACGCAUCUACACCUUCUGGCUAGACGAAUUAUUUGCCCUAUCCGCCGCCGAUGUGCUCUGCCAAACCGAGGAUGCUCGAACUCCGCAUCGACCGGGAUCGAUGACCAGGCCGCACCCGUGGUCAUCGUCCUCGCCCUUGAUUUGUCUCACGGAGGCUCCAGCGCCGGAUCAUCGACGUGACGGCCGCAGCAGCAGUAGAGGACGGCCCAAGGACGGAGAUGGCUGCGUUGUUCACCGGACCGGCGGCACGCGGCGUCAAGGAAAGAUUGUUAUCGUUCGAUCAUGUUUUGGUGGGUUACAAAGGAUGCGUACAUGGAAGGCGGCUUUCGCUGGUGUGAUACACUGAUUUCUCAACUCAUGGUGUACAUGCUAGCGGGAAAGAUUGUUAUCGUUCGAUCAUGUUUUGUUGGGUUACAGAGUAACCCAUUGAUCAGAGUAACCCAUUGAUUUGAAAGGUAUAAUUUUUGUGCUUUCUCUAUUGUGCCAUCUAAGAAUUUGCUCCUGCUGCUCAGCCAGUUCAAUGAGUAGUUGGGUCUCCAAUAGGCGGGCCUUUCUUUGGUCCAUGUCAUCAAGCAGUAUUAAACAGUGAAAGUAUCCAGCAUUAGCAUACAAAUGGUGAAAAUCCCUGGGUUGGCAUUGAUGGAAGGACUGAUGAUAUUUCUGACAUGAAAACGUGGAAGCUUGAGAUGAUUUCUGAUGCCAUUGACAAAAACAAUAGAGAAAGAUGAGGCUGAAGAAGAAACAUAAGAGCUCACCAACCAGGUAAAAUGCUAACUCCAUAUCAUAGAAAUAUUCUCUUUAGUAAAUGUUUCACGACAUAAGGGUGAAUUUGGAUAUACCGCAAGAUCUUGUGCUUGUUGAUGAGGCUGGCAAAGCUAACUUUGGGUGAGUUUGGAACUCAAGCCAGGACAAUCCUUGUCUUGCUAGGGAAAGGAGGCCAUUUGGCUAUGCUAGCCACUAUUGCUGGCAACUGCAAAAGUUAUCUUACCAUCAGAGCCUCGGAGGAGAUUAUUAAGAUUGAUGUGCAAGCAUUUAGAGAAUAUAUGCAGAUUCUUCAGAUCAAUGCAGGAGAAUGUUGAUUAUGAGAGCAUACUGUCAAACUUCUUAAAUUGGGAUUCUUCUUUAACAGUAUAUCCAUACAAGGUACCUAAACGUAGGCAAGUUACUGUCUUGCAAGCAAGUAAUAGUUGAUAUGGAGGAAGAAGCUGAGGUUCUAAUUGGCACAGAAAAAAAAUCUUAAUAAUCCAUAAAAGAGGACAGUUUUUGUAGUUAUCAACAAUUUUUUGGCUAUGCUAUCCAGUUUUUGCAGUUUUUGUCGUCUGGUAGGAAAAAAUAGCUUAAUAGAACACGUUUUUGAUAUUUUCAUAGUUAAACAUAUUGACGUGACCUUCAGUUUUACAGCAUGCAUCUUGCCAAUUAGUUUCCUGAACUUCCCACUAAAGUCAAUUUUAUUAUUCCUCUGCUUCUUUGUCUCAUGGAUAUCGAUGCAACUGCUAUAGGUUAAUAAAUGCUAGAGACCACCACCCUUGAGUAGGUUUAGCUAAACAUACAAUAUAUGAUGGUUAUUUCUGCUACGGUGCUACCAGAGGUUUUGCCAUGGUUCUAAUUGUGUAUGGCAUAUUUGCCUUCUCAGGUGUUUCUUUCUGGAUUUGCUCACUGCUCUAUGGAUCUAUUAAUUCAAUAAAUAAUGAAUAUGAACCUUUUGGCUAGAUGAGUUGACAUGAGUAGCUUGAAUGCCUUGGCUGGUAGCGGGGGCUUUGCCUUUUGAAUUGUUAGUCUCCUGCAAAACACUCGCACAUUACAAACUGUUCAGACAGGUUUGGAGAAAUGAAACAGACCCAUGAGUGGAACACUCAUCCUUUCCAUGAAUGGAAUCGCACCUUAAAGGCCAAGCCAUCUAUAGAACUCUUAGAACAAGCCCCCUUACUUUUUUGAAAUAUUUGAGAGUAGCACCUGUAGCCAAUCAGGACCUCUAUACCCGGAAGCCAUACAUUAGUUAUGCAUACAUGUGCCCAAGAUAUAUUUGCAGCAUGCGGUUAUGUGUGGUGUGUGUGUCCAUGCCCAGCUUAUAGAAUCUCACAUUGCGUUUGAACUUCUACCCUGGAGAUUUAUCUCCUUUCAUCCAACUGGUUUUGAUCAUAGCCAGCUGCUAAAAACUAACUCUUAUUGACAAAGCCACUGAAAUAUUGGUUCUCACGUAUCGACACCUUUCAGUUAAAUACGAACUCAUUUAUUAUUGGAACCUUUCAACUGAACAUAUCAAAGCAAGGACAGUAUCUGAUAAGAGAUUUUUAUUGUGUUUCUUACAACUUUAUGUGACUAUUUAAUGGUUCCUAUUAUAUUGGGCAACGAUCAUUUGAUGUGUUUUAGGCAUGUUUUCCAAAAUAAGCAGACAUGCCAUUUAAUUUUGCUACACGUAGCAAAAACACAGCCGUACCAGUACUUCUCGACUGGUUGCUACAAAUCAAAUGAUUAGGCAUAUUAUGCAUUCCCUUUACAUAAGGUCCUAUUUCUGGUGAGCAUGCACUUAUCUACUUCUUUAGGAAAUUCAUUAAUUUUUAAUUCCCUUAUAGCAAGGUUAAUAAUGCUCACCUUCUUUAUAGUUAGUAUGUAUGCUCUAUUUUCUCAGCUAUAUAUUUGAUCGUGGUUCUUUUUGUAUUUGUC